rfam:Octopus bimaculoides Scaffold66723_contig_149, whole genome shotgun sequence.
UAUUGUAUCGGCAGUACAUAUACUAAAAUUGGAAUGAUACAGAGAUUAGCAUGACCCCUGCGUGAGGAUGACACGCAAAUUCGUGAAGCGCGUUCCCUAUUU